CUCGUGGCAAUAAUCCGAAAUGUACCCGCAAGGUGUUGUCAAAUCUGUGCGAUGACAAAUUGGCAGAGCAUUACAACUGGAUUGGAUCACGAGGAGAAAAAUAUGCUUUUCGUGAGAGUUGGAUGAACGAGAUUGUACUCGAUGCUGUUCGCCGUAGUUGUACAUCAAAUUCAGUCACGGAUACGGAAAUUGAAGAAAUAACAAAGACGUGGUUGAAAAAUGCACCGAAAAGAAUUAAAAAGUCUUCCAAGAAGAUUGCUCGUGCUCACAAUGGAGGGGAAGGUAAUCAAAACGGUAAUCUGCAGGAUGACCAGAACGAAUCCACCGAUUAACUCACACUAAUUACUUUUUAAUUACAUACAGUCUACUAUUUUAGUUGAAGCUGU